ACAAAUAUGCCAAGAAAUGCAUAGAAAAUUAUCUCGUUUUGAUUGAAGUGGAUCAAGGUCUACUUACUAAAUAACUCUUGAUAGUAAUUCUACCAUACUACAUACUGUUUUCCUCAUAAAACUGUGAGUCUGCAUUGAAAUGAAGUUCUAAAAUAUGGCAUUUCCUGUCAUUCUAUCAGUUGUCUUAAUGAUCUAAAUUCUGUUGGUUGACACCCUUGACAGCCAGGUCAGGGACUUGUUAGCAUCGGUUAAAAGGCUCCGCACAGUGGUGUUUUGAAGGCGCUUACAAGGGUCCUUAAUAUUUAAUGGUCACCUUAAAAGUCACAUGGAUUUCAAAAGAGCAUUCCAUUGUGGAUGAGCAGCCAAGAGAAACAAACCUCAAGCGAAUGCCCUAUGGAUUAGAAACUGAAAUUCUUGUUAAGAAAAACAGAAAUGAUGAGCAGCAGUGGCGGCAUACCGAAUUCAGGUUACCUGUAACUAGAGAUUCUACGCAAUCUGUUCUGAAAAGUCGGCAUUUUUAAAUGGCUCUGGAAAGACAAAGUAUUUCGAUUGAGUUAAACUUUCAGCCACCAUGUACAUCAGAGCUCCACUGUCACAGGCCAGUGCUUGGAACCGGAGAGGCUACGGAGGCACCUCACUCGUUACCAAGGAGACAAAGGACUUAGUGGAACUGGGCACCACCCUCUUCUCAGUUUUAUUAACUGGCAACUCUACUUUGAUCGACUUGAGAGAUUGGGCUUUCCUAUAAAAGUUCAUUUGAAAACCACGGGAUGAAUGCAUUUUAAAAAUUGUUUAGAAAGGAAUGUCAGAGACGAGCCCCAGAAAGAGCCCUCUGCAGCCUCCCCUGGCAACUCAGAAGAGAAGUCUAGGGUGUACGUUUACCUGCCUAGUUCUUUCCUUCUCUGGGUUUAUGGGAUCUUGUCCUGAAGGCAGCAUCGGUUGGUUUGUGAUUAAGAGCCUUGUCUUGGUGAGUUGUCCCAGUUGAGUCCAGCCCCCUCUCAUGGAGUUACUUGCUAUGUGCCCUUAGCAUGUUGGUAUGAUUCUCUGAGCCAUGGUGAGAGAAAUAGUGCUUUCGUCACAGCAUCCUUUGAACUUAAAGCAGAUAAUGCUAAGUAAUAUUUGUUGACUGAUUAGCAGGUCUGAGAGGUAAUUAGCUAAAUUGUGCCUGACGCACUGCUAUAUUUGUUUUUACUUUGAUUUGGGGAUUAGCAAAGAAAAAUUGGGAGAAUUAUGCAUAAAAUUCUGGCUCUUUUGAGAAAUGAGAGUGUUGGUUUACUUAUUUAUUUCUUUUCUGGAAUGAUCUGCUUGAUUACCUCACUUCUGUCCUUCAAAUUGAGUAUAAAAAAAAUGGAGUACUGGUCUCUAAAUUCUACAAAAGCCUCACUUUAAUUUUCCUUGAGUGGAGGGUGUUUAUCGAGAUAAUUCAAAUCCCAUUACAUUCUCUGAUACUUGACCAGCGUACUUCAUACUAUUCUCCUUCUUUAUAAUAAUUUAAUCUCUUCUUAAUAAAAAGGAAAAAAAAAAAGCUGCUGAGCCAGAAAUGAUUUUUUUCUACUUAAAGAGUGCUCCCAUUGUUCACUCUGGAUGGAAUAAAUUUAAGAGAGGAGCUGCAUUCUCUGCUCCAGGCCACACUAUUUAAUGUAAUGUCAGGAUUUUCAAUUAAUGGCAAUACCCUAGACUUGAUCAGAAAAUAAAGCCCAACUACCAUGUGUCCACACGUUCUAAUUGUUCUUACAGAAAGGAUAUGUAUGUUACAAAAUAACCCAAGAGGAUUUUUCAUUUGCACUUCUAACCUAAAACGACCCCAUGCUUAAUUUAAGGUGCUCGAUGUAGGCAACUGAAUCAUGGGUUGCCUUUCUAUUAAGCUGUAAAAACUUUUUUUGGUUCAGACUAUAUUUGGGACAUUUUGUGAUUAUUCAACACUUAUGCUCAGAAAUUUAUUAUCAGUGAUACUGUUUCUAACUGAACUUUGCAAAUAUAUUCCCCGCAACCAUUUCAUUCAGCUCUAAUAUCUGAGUAAAUAACAGAUUAAAACCUAGUUGGCUUUGACUAUAAGAUAUACAUCUUCUUUUUUGAAAAAAAAAAGAAAAGAAAAGAAAAAAAAAUCUAGCAGGGCAGUACAACUUGCAUGAGUACCACUGAUCUGGUGACAAUGACUGGGUUUGCAGAGGCAAAAGGGAGAAGAGCAAUUACUUAAUCAUUUUGAUAACUGACAACUGUCUCCUUCCUCAGCUAAACAAAAUUGGUAUUUGCAAAAUGUUAAAAAUAAUUGACAUUAUAAAGGGUUGGGUUUGAUUGCUUUGUUUUGUUUGCUUAAAAAACUUCUGGCAAUAUCGGCUCCAUUCUCUUGAAACAACUCUGUGGCUCCAUUCAGCAUUGCAUUCAGCAGCAAGUUAGAGAGAGAAACACCCAGGUGUAAGGUUUGGCUUAGUUCAAAUAGCAAUAUGUGCAGAGGCAGAACAUUCAGGGACAAGGCUGUAGCUCAGUAGCACCAUCAGUGGAAGGAUCCACUUUCCUUCUAUGAUUUUCAAACCAUCUUCCUUGUCCUGUAUUCUUUUGCUUUUAUUCUCAUGGUACUAACUUGGCUGCAGCUCCUUCAGGCCCUUUCCAUGUCCAAAUUAAUAAAAAAAAAAAAAGGAGGAAGGGCCCAAAGCCAAAGCUGUUUCUUUUAUAUAUAUAUAUAUUUAAAGAUACGUAGAUCACACAAAAUGCUACCUUAAAAAAAUAUAGGAGAUUUCCAUAUCAAAGUCUCCUCUUGAAAAAGUUUUUUUAUUUGUUGUUUUUUUUAAAUCUUUCUGGAAAGUGGAGUCCACCCAGGAAAAUCUAAAAUCUACCUCCCUUUCAAAUCCAGAACUGCAGCACGUGUCCAUGCCUAGCUGCAAAAGAGACUAUGAGAUGGUUUUCCAGUCUCUGUAGUAGAGGAAGCAAAGGAAAAUGAAAUAUCUGCCAUACUGUGCUUUCAUGUAUAGGAUGUGAAAGGCAGGUAGUCAAGUUGUGGGUUUAUCUCUUUAUCUUGCUGACUUUAUUCAAACAAAAUCCCAACCAAAAAACAUGUCCUAAUUGAUUUUUACCAGAACUAACAAUAGGAUAAUAGCAGAGGUAGUGGAAUUAGCCAUGCCAGGUGAAUAGUCUGCUUCUAUCAUCUACUAGCUGUAUGACCCAGGCUAGAUACUUAACCUCUAUGAGCCUCAGAUUCCUUAUUUAUAGUAAAGAGGUUACACACUUGGUAGAUUACCACAGUAAUAACACCUGAUGAAUCACACCUUUUUUUAUGUAUUCCUCUUCCACAUUGAAUCUGGUUUUGGCUAUGUGACUUUAGCCAAUGGGACAUCCACAAACAUAAUUCAAGUCUUAUUUAAGAGAGCAAGCACUGUGCAUUGGAAUUUGACUACUUGGACGAAGGCCAUAAAACUAUUCUGUGAAGAGACUUGGGCUGAAAGACCAGGGUGAAAAAGAGGCAGUUCUUCUGACCCUUCCAGCUGAGUUCAACUUACAGCCAACCUGCCAGCUAACUGCAGCUGCAUCUGUGAGCCCAGGCUAGCCCAGCGGAAGAGCUAAUCAGCAAAGCUACAGAAAUGUGAAGAAUAAUCAGUCGUGGUUGGUUUAAGCCACUAAAUUUGGGGCAGCAAGAGAUGACUGAUGCACAUACUCAUUUUGCAGUGUUGCUGCAAGGAUAGUGAGGUCCCUGGCAUAUAGUAAAUACUCAAAAUUACUAGUUAUAAUUGUUGUUUCCCAUUCUGUAACAUAGAUCCAUGAAAAGAGAAAAUUGAAAGUAAUCAACAGAUACUUUCUUAGCACCUACAAUCUAUUUAGAGUCA
rnacentral:lncRNA from 1 species